rnacentral:rRNA from 1 species
GCCAAACUACCCUACAGACCAGCAUAACCUCGGGAAACUGAGGCCAAUACUGGAUGGCGCUUCGACGGUGGAACGCCCCGAAGCGCGAAACGUUCAGGCGCUGUAGGAUGUGGCUGCGGCCGAUUAGGUAGACGGUGGGGUAACGGCCCACCGUGCCGAUAAUCGGUACGGGUCGUGAGAGCGAGAGCCCGGAGACGGUAUCUGAGACAAGAUUCCGGGCCCUACGGGGCGCAGCAGGCGCGAAACCUUUACACUGCACGCAAGUGCGAUAAGGGGACCCCGAGUGCGAGGGCAAACAGUCCUCGCUUUUCACCACCGUAAGGUGGUGGUGGAAUAAGAGCUGGGCAAGACCGGUGCCAGCCGCCGCGGUAAUACCGGCAGCUCGAGUGAUGGCCGAUUUUAUUGGGCCUAAAGCGUUCGUAGCCGGCCACGCAAGUCCACCGGGAAAUCCGCCAGCCCAACUGGCGGGCGUCCGGUGGAAACUGUGUGGCUAGGGACCGGAAGACCCGAAGGGUACGUCUUGGGUAGGAGUAAAAUCCUGUAGUCCUGGACGGACCGCCGAUGGCGAAAGCGCUGCGGGAAGACGGAUCCGACGGUGAGGGACGAAAGCCAGGGUCUCGAACCGGAUUAGAUACCCGGGUAGUCCUGGCCGUAAACGAUGUCUGCUAGGUGUGGCUCCCACUACGAGUGGGUGCUGUGCCGUA